CUUAUUACCGCGGCUGCUGGCACGAAGUUAGCCGGGGCUUAUUCUUACGGUACCGUCAUUAUCUUCCCGUACAAAAGAGCUUUACAACCCUAGGGCCUUCAUCACUCACGCGGCAUGGCUGGAUCAGGCUUGCGCCCAUUGUCCAAUAUUCCCCACUGCUGCCUCCCGUAGGAGUUUGGGCCGUGUCUCAGUCCCAAUGUGGCUGAUCAUCCUCUCAGACCAGCUACUGAUCGUCGCCUUGGUAGGCCAUUACCCUACCAACUAGCUAAUCAGACGCGGGCCAAUCUCUCGGCGAUAAAUCUUUCCCCGUAAGGGCUUAUCCGGUAUUAGCACAAGUUUCCCUGUGUUGUUCCGAACCAAGAGGUAUGUUCCCACGCGUUACUCACCCGUCUGCCACUGACGUAUUGCUACGCCCGUUCGACUUGCAUGUGUUAGGCCUGCC
rnacentral:rRNA from 1 species